rnacentral:rRNA from 1 species
UACGGGGGGGGCAAGCGUUGUUCGGAAUUACUGGGCGUAAAGGGCUCGUAGGCGGCCAACUAAGUCGGACGUGAAAUCCCCAGGCUCAACCUGGGAACUGCGUCUGAUACUGGAUGGCUUGAAUCCGGGAGAGGGAUGCAGAAUUCCAGGUGUAGCGGUGAAAUGCGUAGAUAUCUGGAGGAACACCGAUGGCGAAGGCAGGUCACUGGGCCGCAACUGACGCUGAGGAGCGAAAGCAUGGGGAGCGAACAGG